rnacentral:lncRNA from 1 species
CUCUCUUUAUUCUGUAGAUGCGCUCCUGGGAAGGGAAGCCAGAAUUUUUGAUGUAGAUCGAUCAAUCCCGCCCUGUUCAAGUGAUCGCCCCGAGCCGAGCGAGAUUGGAGACCGCCUUAAUGAUUGUUCGUAAUGGGCCUACCAUUUAACGUACGUAUGUCAUGUAGUUUUUGUUUUUGUACCUUUGCCGUCCCUCAGCCCCUCUCCCACCUUUUCUAUCUAUCAUUAGAAGUAGGGCGGGUGGCGUACCUCACUGAGCUAUCGAUCGCGAAGCUAUCGCCCGGUUCAACCAACCGUCCGUCCUGGUGCCUUUGCUACUGAUUUGACCGCUUCUCAUCGUUAAUCCGGGUUCACCUUGGCCCUCGCCCCAGAGUUCUUAUGAAGACUCUGGUGGUGCAUGUGUAUGAUAGGGCCCCCCAUAAGCGCCAAAGAUCGGUGAUGUUGUCAUGAUAAGUGUGGGAAGUCGAUAGGUCCUUCAAUCAUCGAGUACACUAU